rnacentral:lncRNA from 1 species
CCCUUCCCGGCGCGACCCGUCGCUUCCCGGCGCGUGACCCAUCAUCUGUCACUGCUUUGCUGCUCCGAUCACUCCGGCAACGAUUCCGAUCAUCUUUCCGGCCUUCCCGUGCUGCUACCCGGCCUUUUGGUGAAUCGAUUGGGCUCUCUUGUGUGUACAACCUUGGAUACCUCCUAUUCUGUCACAAUUUAUAAACCUUUACCAUGGCAGAAGGUAAAAGGGUGUCAAUGACAGAAGGUAAAAGGGUGUCGAUAGCAGAAGGUAAAAGAGUCUCGAUUCCUAACUCUGAUUCCUCAUUCUUUAGUGCCACAUCUGACUUUGUAAAGUCAGGUAAUGCUUCAUCUCUUCAUAAUAUUCCAUGGAUUAUCGAUUCUGGUGCGAAUAGACACAUGACAGGUUCUUCUAAAGGCUUUCUCAAUUAUUUUCCUUCCCUAACNNNNN